UCCAGCGUCGAUCCAGGACAGUCGCAGAAGAGUGCUGAGGAUGGAGAGGAAAACUACCUCCCUCCCAGAGCAAGGGAUGUCACUCAGAAAUGCAAGAGCCAGCCUCAUUUCUGUCUGACAGUGCAGGUCCAAAGUCACGAGGCCGAUACACCUGAGAGGCUGGGGAAGGCUGCAGGAGGAGCUGGGGCUGCUGAGGUUCUCCUCUGGAAUCUGGGUGCGGCACCCAGCAGCAGGGAUCUGGAAUGUGCUGCGCUGCGGAGUGAAUUCCUGGUGCAGUUUUGAGACUCAGAGCAAAAGAACUGGACACCAGAGAUGCUGGAUCAAACCUGACAGGAUUCAUCCUUCCAGCAUGCUGAGACAUUGACAUCUGUUCCAGCAUCUUGCAUGUUCCAGCAUUCUGCUUGCUCCUGCUCAACUGCUUCAAUUGCUGUUUCUCAUCAAAGCCUGCUCCCAAAAGAACUUUGAAGAAAGCUGCUAAUCUUAAUUGGUCCAGCAUUUUAGACUGCUCCAAAGAGGACUUUUAUUAAGCCUGAAAUUUCUCAACAUUCAAAGACUGGACCACAAAUGUUAUUGCUUGCUUAAUUAACCAAUUUUUCCCAAUUUUCUUUGGGCCCCCUAAUAGAAUUUCUGCAUGUCCAAAAUGUCAGCUAGAAGAAAUCCUUAAGAAUGACAACCAGUUUUCCUUACAGGGGGUUUGGAUUCUUUGACAAUGAGACAAGUCAUCUCCUGGCAGCACCCCGCCUACCUCAAAGAAGAUGAUGAGCAUUGAAGAACCUCCAUAUGGAGAUGGCUUCAAAUGUGGCAAACAUGCCACUCGGGUAAAGAAAAUACCCUCGCUUCACAACAGACAAAUUCUGCCUAAAAUGGCCAAGCUUAAAUGCAGGACAAGUCUACUGCCGAACUCUGCCAAGACAGGGUAAGGAAGUCCUAAAUAGUUGCUGCUUCACAUAUGUCUGUCAAACAUACUGAGCCAGAAGGCUGAAGAUGAUGCUCCAACGUUAUAGAGAGUUAUGGGUGACUGUUCAGGCAGCAAACUGUCUCUGUCAAUUUUUAUUUUUUGGAAUCUUCUAACAUGCACUUCCUAUUUACUCUAAUAACUAAUUUUAUUCCUUCUCAAGUCUCUGAUGGGGUUGAAGACCAAAUAGUUAUAGUGCCACAAUUAAGGUUAAGUUGUUUGGAAGUUAAAUCCUUUCAUGUAGGUAACACCAAUAAGGAUAAAAGUUAAUUUAGGUAUAGAACUUUAAACUUGUCAAGAUAGAUAGGAUAAAUCAGAUACUUUCUCCUAAAUUGCUAAAUACACAUGGACUGGACAUUGCACAUGUAUAUUUUACCUAACAGUUUCAUAAGUUCAUAAUUAUUAUUGUAUUGAAAGAAAAGGAGUCUUUUAUUGGUCUUAAAGGGGGAAAUGUUGGUAUACUGUUCUUUCAGAAUGUGUACACUUUACCCUUUUUCAUUCAAAUGCUGAUUUCUCUCCCCCACUCUGUGGUUUCAAUCCGGACAUUGCAUUGUGAUACUUAUUCUAAGCAUCACCUGUCUCAACUUUGUGUAAACAUGCCAAAAUAAAACAACUAGCCACAAUGUUGAGCAAGGGAAGUAGGAAGAGAUGGAGGAGCCAGAGGACAGGAAAAGAGUGGGAGGCAAAAGGGAGAGGGAGAGCUGGGAGAACAGAGGCAGGAGCAGAGAGCUUGGAAUAAUGUGGAGAGAUGGACUGGACCUAAUACAUCACUAAAAGCGAGUAUAAUGUGGGAAAUCUAAAUGUUAGGAAACUAUGAGGGCUUGGGGGUUUAGGAUGGAGUAACUAUUACCCAGCAUUGUGUUCUAAGUUAAUUAAAUAAAUCCCAGUCUCUGUAUGGUGAUUUGGUUAUACAGCUGCUUAGGAUUAACAGCAGCUUUACUAAAAGAUAAACCAAUAGUAGAUAUUAAUAGUCUCCUACAACACAUUCCUAUACCCCUUGCCUUAUACAGAAAAUGCCAGCAGGCUGGGAAUAUAGGACAGCGCUGCACUACAAAGUGAGUUUGAGGCUAGCCUGAACUACCUGAGACCCUACAUUUAAAAAGUAAAUAAAUAAGUGAUGAUGACAAAUAGUAAAACAAAAAUUAUCAAAUUGUGCAUUUUAAAAUGGCAUGUUUUGAGUUGGAAUGUAGAAUGCUAGGGUGUAAAGGGCCCUGGGUUCCAUCCUAACACCCCAAAAGAAAAAAAAAAGAAGAAGAAAAAAAAAACAACAACAGACUGACAAAUUAAUCAGAACCCUCUCCAGACAUCCAUGUGAAUCCAAUAAACGACCUCCUUCCUUGAAGACACAUCUGUGGAAAUUUCCACCAGCAAAAAAUCCUGGAAACGGUGCUCGAACUGCCUCUCUGGCCAUGAGCCAGACAUCUUCCUUCAGUGGCUAUGCCAACAUGGCUCAUAAAAGGCAACAACAACAGAAAAGCCAUUUCUGCACCCAUUUCUCGUGAGAGCCAAAGUAAAGAAAAUAGAUCCGUCAUUCCCUUCUCAGUUUUCUCCUCAGUUUAGUAUCUGGGAUGUCCAGGGUCACAAAGUCAUCCUUGUGAAUAAAUACUGUAGCUUGUUGCUAUACUCACAGGGAAGAACAUGCUAAAUAUACUCUUGAUGUUGAUAGAAGAUGCAACUGUUUUUAUUUUUUUCCAAAGAUAUAAAAAUGGAUAGAUCUGAAA